ACGCGUGUGCACCAAUGCUCUGAGCCCAGCGCUCGGGGCCUCUCCUGGAGGGACGGGCUCCCACGGAUGGUGUCCUGCUCCACGCUGCACAGAGUGUGUCAAAGGGCCGCCUGUGUUUGCCUGCAAUGUACUGGUACUAAUGGAGCAAGUCAAGAAAAUAUCCUCUUGGAUGACCCCCUUCCUCCACUACCAGGAACAUGAAAACCGUCACUUCCAAAGGAAGGGAUAUUUACGUUCGGCUCUCCUGUGAGUAAUUUUCUAUAAGGCUGGCAGAGCUAGCAAAUGAACAUUCAAGACCAGUGAAAUUGGAAAGAUGUGUUUUUCUAACUGCCUAUGCCAUUUUGUUAUUUAUUGACAAGAAUGACAUUUAGAGCAUCAUCAUGAAAUCCGUACAGAAUGCAGGACACAAGUCACUGAGCACAGGACAGGUGCUACAUGCCCGGCAUGGCUGGCGUUCCUCAUUUUGGGGUCAUGUUCAGGGUCAUGGGGUCUCUACACACGCCUAUGGCGACUUUGGCUUUUGUACACAUGCAGCAAUGAUGUUCUUAACCUACACAGUCAACUCCCGUAGUUUUAUUAGGAAUUAACUAUCAACUCGAAUCAAGAGCCUUUUCUCCGUCUUCUAUUUUUACACACCAGCAGCGUACUAAUGGAAAAAUAGAAACUCUUGCCCCAGUUUCGGAUUGUCUAUCUGAACGUGUACACAUUGCUAAUUUGAACUGAGGAUUUUCAGCCCACAGAGUUGCCGGACCUGCUGCAGAGGGUAGCCGGGGUGAAAACCAGCCAGCCACGUGCGUCCCAAGCUGAGAGGGAGCCAAGUCCCCCAGGAGAGCCGAGAGAGGGUGAGAAUGGAGGGGGAGGGCUGAAGCUUCAGUUCUGCCUCAUGUUUCUUCCUCAUGGAGCAUUUCACAGAAGUAAUUCUGAGGGGGGAAAUGGGGCUGAAAUCAUCAGUGUUUCUUGGAGACUGGGAAAAUGGGCUCUCCUGGGGCACCAGGGGGCUAGAAUGACAUCAUCUGUCGUCAUGUAAGACCGAGUGGCCAGUCUUUCCCUGCAAAGAAGUGAAUUGAUGUACAAGCUAGUCGACUGAACAUUUUUACCUCCCUUAUUCUGAAGACAAAGAUUUUGUUUUAAGUUCUUAAAAAAAAUUAAACCCACAUAACAAUACAAACAGUUUACUGACAAACACUAAUCCCCGAGAAGAUAACUCUUUCAUUCUUUCAAGUCCCAGUUUAGCUCUAAUCGCAUCAUUUCAGCGCACAUUCUGACUCUGGAAACUCUCAACGCUGCUCUCAGACACUGGAGUCUGACAGCGGACACCUCGCCCUCACUGGGGUCCCGGGACCCCAGGUUUGGUGGGUUGGCAGGUCGCUGUGAUUAAAGAUAAACUGACAUUCACAAAGGGCAAAAUGUACAUAGUUAAUCCAUUGGACAUGAAAUGUUGAGCUUUGGACCUUCAAGUGUAGAUCUUCUUCUGGGGGGGGAGACUCAGAGCACCGUGGACCCAUCCAGGGCCAAAAGCUGGAUUUCAAGUGCAGGGUUGGAAGGCAAUGUUUGAAAUGCUAAUACCUUUCGUUACAAAAACUCCCAUCCCACCAAGCCGUGAUAAGAUAACUUGAAUUCAAAACAAGGCAUUGCAAAUGUUUAAGAGGCAAAGGAAAGUCGAGCGAGAAUAAAGCCAAAACUGAGGGACUGGAAGUCUCCCUGACACCACAGGUCAGGUGCCUGGCCCGCAGGCCACAGGGACAGCACACAGAACCAAGCCUGAGGGCAAGGGUGACCCUUCACUGAGCCACCGGUGCAAAGGCCCUGUGCCUUCUUCACGCCAUUUCUCUCUUUUCUUCUUUCCCCAGACGACAUGUCAGUGCUAAGGAUCUAAGCCAGGGAGAAAGAACAGUGUUGUAGUAGAAGUGUUUCCACAGGUUUAUGUACCUUAAUUUACAUUUCAAUGGUAUCGAA